UGGUCAACCACACCGUAAACAUGAAAGGC
rnacentral:piRNA from 1 species